AAAAGUCAACGUCACACUUGGUCGGCUGAAACACAAACCCGCUGGUUGAAUUAGAGGUAAGAGGAACCUUGAGAUCACACUUGACCUUUGGCUUGAACCUCCACGACUUGAUCAACCCAAACUUAAACCUAAUCCUAAGUCUAAGCUUCGCAUCGAUCCUAUAGAUCUGAGAAUUCACAUCCUCGUUCAGAUCCUUCCUCUCUCCGCCGUCAAGCAUCACCAACUGCUGUCCCGAGAGUUUAGUUCCAACCACCGUCGUGUUCUUAUGUCCCUGAUAAAACUUCGAGAUGUUGUUACUCAUGCCAAAUCGCUGAUCACCGUAGUAUCCUCUGACUUCGAUUUCAUCAUAGUAAACACCGAUCCGUCGAUUA
rnacentral:lncRNA from 1 species